AUCCACGCCAGUAUCAUUUCUGAUAAACCUUUUGCGACAUAUGGGAAAGGAAAGUAGACUGGUCUUGGGCAUGUAUUGCAAAUGUUCAUGUGGAUAAUAACUUUUAAAUGUUGCGAUGUAUUUGCCAUAAUCUCAUUAAGUUUUGGAAUAUAUUGGGGGUUGCCACAAUAAUUAGUUACACCUCUGUCAGCUCAAUGUUUAUCCAACAUUUGCCUUCUCAUCUUUAUGCUCAUGGCUUCUGCUAUUACAGAUGUUGAACGAGGUGUUGUGACUGUAACUUUGCAAACAAGUCUAAAUUCUGUGCAGGGUUAUGUUUAGAUGACAAAGUUUGCAGUGAGAUGUUUGCACUAAUAGCCAAAUGAUUCCUGGUGCUAACAGUACUGUUGCAAACCGUCUUGCCAAUUUGAGAUCAUUUUGAGUUGCUCAGCAGAAGGUUGGUCUGCAUGCAUGACACGAACAAUGGAUGGGCAACAUCAAAUACUAAGCUCUUGCAAAGAAUGUCCAAGUUGUGUUAACCUCCUCAUUAGCUCCGUUGUUGCUGCCAAGUAAGCCAACCGUGUACAAAUUUAUCAUUUAUUUGCAGUCAAUGUUUCCAAAUAAUUUAACUCAUUUCCUACAAAUGUUCUUUGACCAUUUCUUUGUGUUAUUAACGCUCGCCAUCCUCUGUGCCGUUCCAUAUUUUGGGCAUUAAUUAGAGGUUACAAUGAAAGAUGAGACUCCAACAAUCUUUAGUUCAAAUGUGAAGCCACUUGCCUUACUACAUUAACAUCAUGUUUCACUGUUGCAGAAAGGUUUGCCUAACCAGGGUUACUAUUUCAAAAGCAGUCUCUUCAUUUCUAAAGAUUUAAAUCGUGUUAAUUAUUUCUAAUGUAUUGGUAUUUUUGUAACAGGGCCAUGUUGACUUUAUUUUGUCAUUGAAUAUUAUUGAAUGGAUACAAUUCCUAAUGACCUCUGCCAUUUUAUACAACUGGAUUGGGUAUUAAAUGGUCUAUCAAGAAUUUUGAGUAAGCUCAGUUGUGCACUACCUUCUAACUCAAUCCUGAGUCAGCCAUCUUACAAAGCUUUAUAUAGUGGCAGAAACAUACACUUAACAUGUGUGGAAAGUUCAGCCUGCUGAGAAAGUGUCCCAUCUGCUUAUAUGUGGCCAUUUAGCUGUUGCUUGGUGUUUGUGCUUGACCCCAGCCUCUGCUCAGUGGUGCUCUGUGUUGCCAGCUCCCAUUUAGAUGUAAUGUGCUUGUCUACCAUCAAGGUCACAUUGGUUUAGUUUGGGAAGGUUGGUGUUAUGUGCAUGCAUCAGGAAGCUGCAAUUUCCCCUUGUUCACUU